rfam:Tupaia chinensis contig214270, whole genome shotgun sequence.
CCACAUAGUAUGGUACCCAGUCUGUCCCAGACACUUCACCCGGUGCUGUUAGGUUGGAAUUAAAGUGGUUU